CAAGGUUCCCUUCGGGGACCGGGACACAGGUGCUGCAUGGCUGUCGUCAGCUCGUGUCGUGAGAUGUUGGGUUAAGUCCCGCAACGAGCGCAACCCUCGCCCUUAGUUGCCAGCAUUUAGUUGGGCACUCUAAGGGGACUGCCGGUGAUAAGCCGAGAGGAAGGUGGGGAUGACGUCAAGUCCUCAUGGCCCUUACGGGCUGGGCUACACACGUGCUACAAUGGUGGUGACAGUGGGCAGCGAGCACGCGAGUGUGAGCUAAUCUCCAAAAGCCAUCUCAAUUCGGAUUGCACUCUGCAACUCGAGUGCAUGAAGUUGGAAUCGCUAGUAAUCGCGGAUCAGCAUGCCGCGGUGAA
rnacentral:rRNA from 1 species